rnacentral:rRNA from 1 species
GACGAACGCUUGCGGCGUGCCUAAGAAAUGCAAGUCGAGCGGAUCGGAGAGUCGAAAGUCUAAAGUCUAAAGUAAAAAGUGCCGGUGUUUGGUGGGUUUACUUUGGACUUUGGACUUUGCACUUUCGACUUUUCGAUUAGCGGCGAACGGUCGCGUAACACGUAAGCAACCUGCCCCAAAGACCGGGAUAGCCCGCCGAAAGGUGGAUUAAUACCGGAUGUGGAGGGACUAUCGCAUGGUAGUUUCUUUAAAACAGGCAACUGGCUUUGGGAUGGGCUUGCGGCCUAUCAGCUAGUUGGUGGGGUAACGGCCUACCAAGGCGACGACGGGUAGCUGGUCUGAGAGGAUGGUCAGCCGGACUGGGACUGAGACACGGCCCAGACUCCUACGGGGGGCAGCAAUUAGGAAUCUUGCGCAAUGGGGGAAACCCUGACGCAGCGACGCCGCGUGAAGGAUGAAGGCCUUCGGGUUGUAAACUUCUUUUAAGGGGGAAGAAGAUCUGACGGUACCCC